CCUACGGGGGGCUGCAGUGGGGAAUUUUGGACAAUGGGGGCAACCCUGAUCCAGCCAUGCCGCGUGCGGGAAGAAGGCCUUCGGGUUGUAAACCGCUUUUGUCAGGGAAGAAAUCUUCCGAGCUAAUACCUUGGGAGGAUGACGGUACCUGAAGAAUAAGCACCGGCUAACUACGUGCCAGCAGCCGCGGUAAUACGUAGGGUGCAAGCGGUGCUCGGAGUUUCUGCAGGUAAAUGUGCCGGAGAGGGUUGAAAUCCCCGGGCUUAACCUGGGAACUGCACUUGUGACUGUACGGCUGGAGUACGGCAGAGGGGGAUGGAAUUCCGCGUGUAGCAGUGAAAUGCGUAGAUAUGCGGAGGAACACCGAUGGCGAAGGCAGUCCCCUGGGCCUGUACUGACGCUCAUGCACGAAAGCGUGGGGAGCAAACAGGAUUAGAUACCCCUGUAGUC
rnacentral:rRNA from 1 species